CCUACGGGUGACUGCAGUGAGGAAUAUUGGUCAAUGGGCGAGAGCCUGAACCAGCCAAGUCGCGUGAGGGAGUACUGCCCUAUGGGUUGUAAACCUCUUUUGUCGGGGAGCAAAAGCCGGAAGUGUUCGGCUGUGAGAGUACCCGAAGAAAAAGAGUAGGCUCACUCCGUGCCCGCAGCCGCGGUAAUACGGGGGAUGCGCGAGUUAUACGGAUUUAUUGGGUUUAAAGGGUGCGCAGGCGGGCUUUUAUGUCAGCGGUAAAAGCACGGGGCUCAACCCCGGCGGGCCGUUGAAACUGGCGGGCUUGAGUUGGAGAGAAGUACGCGGAAUGCGCGGUGUAGCGGUGAAAUGCUUAGAUAUCGCGCAGAACCCCGAUUGCGAAGGCAGCGUUCCGGCUCCACACUGACGCUGAGGCACGAAAGCGUGGGUAUCGAACAGGAUUAGAUACCCGAGUAGUC
rnacentral:rRNA from 1 species